rnacentral:rRNA from 1 species
GACGAACGCUGGCGGUGUGCUUAACACAUGCAAGUCGAACGGUAAGGCCCUUUCGGGGGUACGCGAGUGGCGAACGGGUGAGUAACACGUGAGUAACCUGCCCUCAUCUCUGGGAUAACAGUCGGAAACGGUUGCUAAUACUGGAUAUGAGCUUGCAAGGCAUCUUGUGGGUUGGAAAGAUUUUUUUUGGUUGGGGAUGGACGCGCGGCCUAUCAGCUUGUUGGUGAGGUAGUGGCUCACCAAGGCUUCGACGGGUAGCCGGCCUGAGAGGGCGACCGGCCACAUUGGGACUGAGAUACGGCCCAAACUCCUACGGGGGGCAGCAGUGGGGAAUAUUGCACAAUGGACGGCAGUCUGAUGCAGCAACGCCGCGUGCGGGAUGACGGCCUUCGGGUUGUAAACCGCUUUCAAUUGUGACGAAGCUUUUUUGUGACGGUAGCAGUAGAAGAAGCACCGGCUAACUACGUG